rnacentral:rRNA from 1 species
AUACAGGCGAGAGACCGAUAGCGGACAAGUACCGUGAGGGAAAGAUGAAAAGAACUUUGGAAAGAGAGUUAAACAGUACGUGAAAUUGUUGAAAGGGAAACGCUUGAAGUCAGUCGCGUCUUCCAGGACUCAGCCUUGCUUCUGCUUGGUGUACUUCCUGGCGGAUGGGCCGGCAUCGAUUUUGAUCGCCGGAAAAGGGCGGGAGGAAUGUGGCAGCUUGCUGUGUUAUAGCCUCCCGUCGUACACGGUGGUUGGGAUCGAGGACUGCAGCACGCCUUUGGUCGGGGUUCGCCCACGCCACGUGCUUAGGAUGCUGGCGUAAUGGCUUUAAACGACCCGUCUUGAAACACGGACC